GCCGAGGUGGCGGAGUCUGGCUUAACGCGCAAGCCUGCUAAGUUUGUUCCCCCCUGGGGAGCUUGGGUUCAAAUCCCAACCUCGGCG
rnacentral:tRNA from 1 species